rnacentral:sRNA from 1 species
ACCACUCCUGUCUGAGGGCCGGCUG